ACGGAAGGCAGCAGUAGGGAAUAUUGGUCAAUGGGGGUAACCCUGAACCAGCGACGCCGCGUGAGUGAAGAAGUAUUUCGGUAUGUAAAGCUCUAUCAGCAGGGACGAUAAUGACGGUACCUGACUAAGAAGCCCCGGCUGACUACGUGCCAGCAGCCGCGGCAAUACGCAGGGGGCAAGCGUUAUCCGGAUUUACUGGGUGUAAAGGGAGCGUAGGUGGCCAUGCAAGUCAGAUGUGAAAUCCCGGGGCUCAACCCCGGAGCUGCAUUUGAAACUGCGUAGCUAGAGUGCAGGAGAGGUAAGCGGAAUUCCUAGUGUAGCGGUGAAAUGCGUAGAUAUUAGGAGGAACACCAGUGGCGAAAGCGGCUUGCUGGACUGCAACUGACACUGAGGCUCGAAAGCGUGGGGAGCAAACAGGAUUAGAUACCCUGGUA
rnacentral:rRNA from 1 species